rnacentral:rRNA from 1 species
UACGAAGGGGGCUAGCGUUGUCCGGAUUUACUGGGCGUAAAGCGCACGUAGGCGGAUCGUUAAGUCAGGGGUGAAAUCCUGGAGCUCAACUCCAGAACUGCCUUUGAUACUGAAGAUCUUGAGUUCGGGAGAGGUGAGUGGAACUGCGAGUGUAGAGGUGAAAUGCGUAGAGAUGCGGAGGAACACCAGUGGCGAAAGCGGCUUUCUGGUCCUUAACUGACGCUGAGGCGCGAAAGCAUGGGGAGCGAACGGG